GGAGCUGGAUUCGGCACGACCGUGGAGCUGCAGUUCUGCGCCUCCUGCUCGUACAAGGGAAAUGCAAUGACCAUGAAGCGCAUGCUGGAAACAUCAUUUCCUGGCAUUAAUGUUUUCUUGCAUAAUUAUCCGCCAGCUUUCCCCAAACGGGUACUGAGCAAAAUCAUGCCAGUUAUUCAAGUUGGAGCCAUUGCAACAAUAAUGGCUGGUGACCAGAUUUUCCCCAGACUUGGCAUUACUCCACCUCCAUUGUUUUACUCGUUGCGUGCCAAUAGAUUUGGAACCAUGGCGACAAUUUGGCUCAUUGGCAAUUUUGCCCAAUCUUUCCUACAAAGUUCUGGUGCCUUUGAAGUUUACUGCAAUGGAGAUUUGGUUUUCUCGAAGUUAGCCGAACAGAGGUUCCCUAGCGAGUUUGAGCUGCGCGAUCUCAUCGGCAGCAGGCUGCCACCUUCUCCAUUCGGGAAAAACAUGGGAAACGUCUUGUCUUAG
rnacentral:rRNA from 1 species